rnacentral:tRNA from 1 species
GGCAACAUGGCCGAGCGGUCUAAGGCGCUACGUUCAGGCUUCAGUCUUCUGAAAUCUUCAUUCGUAGUCUCGAAAGGGGCGUGAGUUCGAAUCUCACUGUUGUCA